CGAAUUUCGAAACUCGACCGCGCGGGUUUAUCGUCAGCACUACCGUAGUUGUCGCGGUCCGUCGCGACAUUGUCAUCCGUUUACCGGGCCCGGCUCGAGGGGCGGACCACACGUAGGGUCGGUGUUUUUCGGGGGAUGUGGGGGGGAGGGGGUGGCGGCGUUCAAAUGUCGUUUUCGGUCGUGGUGCGUUCGCUUUUGAUGCGUGCGACCGUACGAGGGCCGGCGAAAUUUAUCAGUCCGGUAUUUUCGCGAUCAGGACGGAUCCGGGAGACCGGGUUCCGUAUCGUCGUGCGAACGAAAAUCGCCGAUCAAUAAUCUCCAGCCGACACUUGACGCGCGUAAAUAAAACGAGACCGGCCCGUUCGGUCGGUUGUAUAUAAUUGUUUACACUAUCGGAUUCUGAACGUGGCGAGAAUGUGUCGGUUUUACUGAGAUCUCUCUAAACUACGAUCUAGACGAUUUGAGCUUCCGGAAAAGUGGCUACGCGUAAAAAUCGAAGCAAGUUUACUAGGGAAAAACGUGUCCACAGCCUGGAAUUAAGAAAAAGAAAUAACGUCUACGCUCGGAAUCUGAAAUAAGGUUGCCAAUGGCAACCGUUCUUAAUUAUUUUUUGUGAUUAUUAAGUUUUUAUUAUCGUAAUCUUUUUCAAACAAUUAUCGUUGUCACGGAAACGCACAUU